GAUCAUUUGGUCGGCAUAUGUUUUCCCACUUAGUUAGUCUACAUUUUAUUUUCCGGUCAUCAUUUUUUUUGAAAGGAACACAGCAGGGGAGGCCCCCGCUGUUAAAAUUUUCUGGUCAUCAUUACUCCAAAAAAAAAAACUUCACCUAAAGUAAUCCAAUCUUUGAUGCACACCUCGUGGAAUUUCAAAGAAGGAUAACAUAAACAGGGGAAGACUUGAAAGAACUGAGUUUAGAAGGACUAAUCUCCCAUCGUAUGAUAUGUUUCUGCCUUUCCAUGUGCUGAGUCCCCUCUCAAAUCUAUCUUCAACUCCUUUCCAAUCAACAUUCCGGAGUUUCUGAUAAUGAAUGUGUAUACCAAGAUAUCUAAAGGGGAAUAUCCAGAAUUACAACCAAAUAGUUGUCUAUAUUCAUCCUCCACUUCCUUGGUUUUCCCAAAGCAAGAAAUCUUACUUUUAUGAAAGUUUAUUUUCAGCCCUGAGAGUUGUUCUAACACACACAAGUUGGCCUUCAUGUUUUUGGCUUGUUCAAGGUCAUGUUCUAGAAAAAUUACUGUAUCAUCAGCAUAUUAUUUUUUUUAGAUAAUGGAAUAAAUAUCCCGGUCUUUGCUCAACAGAGCUAAAAAAAUUAUUACAAAGUAUCACUCUAACAAAGAGUGUAGUUCAAAAAGAAUUAAACACACCCAACAAAAUAAAAAGACCAAACCAAGAUAAGGAGUACACAUUUAUUCAAGUCUAUUUGUGAAUCUCCAUCCAUAGUUUGCAAAAAGUUGCAUAACCGUUGUCUCAAGCCUACGACGUGCAACCUUCAUAAGCUCUCUAUCAUCUUCACACUUUUGUAGCUGUGCCCAAAAUCAUCAGCAUAUUAUAGAAUGGACAAACCAUCCUCCACUAAAUAUGGAAUGACUCCUCUAAUUUGAUCAUCGCCUUUAGCGCAAAAAUCUAGUAUUGCCCUUUGUUUCGCACAAAAAUAAUUUUUCGUGUUAAUUGGUUAUAUAUAUGAGGCGGUUGCAUACAUUGGUUUCACUAUAAACCACUAAUGCUCAAGGAUCAUUUGGAAACACUAGAGAAAUUUCUGUUAAAUUUUUACUGGGUUUCCUAUGAAUAAGUUCAAUUCCCACAAGAAUCAGGAAUUCCAUGUUCCAAACUCAUUAUUUGAAGCUUGGGAAACCUCAUGCAACAUUUUGUAGUCCAGGAAACAAGUUAGGUGUUGCACGCAUAUAUGUGCUUCUUGAGAAUGAGUGGUAUCAAGAAGGGAACAGCUGCAGCAAAAUGACGUUGGUGGCUAACCUAGUAGUUUUCGUCAGAGUGAUUAGCACUAAGAUGGUUGCCAUGGAACCUGCCUGAUUCCUGUGCUGUAUUGAAUAAAAAGUUAGUAGAGGCUUGCAGGUGGAAAUGGCGAGGGGUCAGCAGAAGGCAUCAUACACUCAGAGGGUGUUGGAGUACUUGGAGAAUUGUGCAAAUUAACUCAACUGACCAGAGUUAAUUAACAGUACUGUUGAAUGCUAGAAUUGAUAUCUCAUGAAUUAGGACAUGUAGAAGUGCAUCAUCAAUUAAUAGCUAAUAUAUAAGCUGCCAAUUAGACCAACUAGCUGCCGAUGCGCUGGAGGGUGAGGAGAGACAAACAUCCAUGUUAAGUUUAUUAAAAUCAACUCUUAGCGCAACACUUAUAAAAGAAAAUCCCGUUGCAUGAGGGUUGAAAAAGGAAGAAGGAUAAUAACAAAUUGUUUUAGUCGAUUAAUGGUUAGUCUUCAUGGUGUUGAUUACUAUAAGGGCAUUUUCUCUAGAUGAUGUGUACUGUCUAGUAGCCCAUAUAUGACGGGUUCAAUAGUUGUGUUGUCCUUACAAAUUUGUCACUUAUUGAUAGUUCCAUUCCAGGUGACAAAGCUGAGCUCAAAUUGUAGGCUUUAAAUUUAGUUUUACUUUCAUGGGUUUUCUUGCCCGGCUCUCUUUUCAUGGUCAUUAAAAGACAAAAGAAAAACGUUGAAAUUCCAAGGCUAGCUCCAAACCAGCUUAAUUUGAGUUGCAAAAGCACAGUAGUGUCGGUGAAUAAUAGAUGUACUAUUAUUGCUACCUGUACAUGAAUUGCCAGAUGUUGCCUGCCUUCACAUUUAUUUCUUGUUUUAUCUUUCUGUCCUGAUAUCAGCAUGCUUUUCACCAAAAUGCACUACCAGAAAAGCUAUCAGGAGGGAGCUAGACCAUUUUUGAUCUCCUAACACCCUAUUUAACGGUAUUCCCUUCAACACUGAUAGUGUAUAACCGUUGAGAAUUGUUUGUUGCUGCUGCUAGUGAUGCCUCAAGCUACCAUGUAUUAUCUCUACUACUUUGAGAGUUGAAUCGUCGUGUCCUUCUUCCAUCCUCUUCCCUAUCGUGUGUACACAAGGUCCCACUCCUUCAUGUUUCCCUUUAUUCUAAAACCACCCAACUAGCCAAUUCCCAAUCAUAUAGGCUGACCCAUUGCAAAGCACAUAUAUAUUACUAGUAUAUAGAAACAUCUAAAAAUGAGCACCAUCCAUCGUUAUAGUUUGUUUUGGCUUGCAGAAUGGGCAACCUAUACAUUCAGUAGUAAUCAUUUGUUCUACAUACUCUUCUAUUGUAAAAUGGCAUGUACAAACUCCGAUUCUUAGGAUUCCGACUACACUACUACAGGGAUGGAUCGAUGAACGGCAACAUGGGCAUUUGUCAAGGGUUUGUUUCGGAAUGUGUGGCAACAGGAAGUCAAAAUCUUAUCAAUGCAUAGUCAGAGAUAAGUCAGCAAAAUUGUGCGGUCCAAAGAAAAGGACUUUUUUGUGUGCAUGCAAACCCAUGUACAUAUUCCAUGACUCUGCCCUAUCGACGGUGAGUUUUUAAGCUAUGGUACAGCUUCUUGCUGAUCUCCUGAGUAUAGCUCUCGGUGCAUCCACCCAUUGAUCCCUUCGGUAUUAAUUCCUUCAUUUCGUGCAUCAGUUCAUGUGUUUCCCUUUGAUUUUUCAUCGGUGGAAUGAAAACCUUGUCGUAGAUAAUGAAUGGGUGGUCUUCUCAUUACCUGCAAACAAAGGGGUAGGGCCCAUCUCUGUGGACGUUCGAUUUUCAAGCCUCGUCCAGAGAAGACACAACCUUUUUUUCCCAAUCGAGGAUAUAACUGAAAUGGUGCUCUCAUGUCCUAAGACACCAACAAGCAAAAUUAUAUUAUUCCUUCUAUUACACCUUUUUCCAAUUGCACUAAAUUGAAUAAAUUGUUCCCCACAAAAAAAAGAAUAAAUUGUUUCCAACAUAAUUCAUUUGCACCAAAUGGUUCCAUACACUACUGCAGGAAACUAAAUCAGUGUUAAUUUGCACAGGCGUUUAGUGAACCACAGAUAACAUCAUUUCAUGGGAAACCAACUGUCCAUGGAUAUACAUUUCCAGAGACGUGUUGUCUUAGCCGACCGCCUUUAAGAAACAUCUUUACAAGCGGUAUAUUGGGGGUCUAGAGGAGUGAGUUCAUGCGGGGAUUGGUCUUUAAUUCUAGUUCCAUUUUUACUUCUAGUCCCUUGUUUGAUAGUCAUAAUGAGAAAUGAUCAUGGAGAGUGUGAGUUAGAAAUGGAUUUAAAGUGUUAAAAGGGUGGAAGUUUGCUCUCUCCUUGCAAAUCCCUCCUGAAACUCACACACCAGCCACACAAACAUCUUACCUAACAACCCCAACCCUUAAACUCCCAUUUCCUACUAACUGUUCCCACCAACCAAACAUGCCCACAUAUAUACCUCCACUUGGUGCAAGAAUAAAAUAUUUGGAGAGACAUGCGUCUAGAGUGAAUAGUAUGUGGAGAGCUUGAGGAUCUAUAUAUAUAGCGCUACCCACUUUUGAAUAUUAGAGAGGUAUAUACAUAUAGCAUUGUCAUCCGUACUGGUCAUAUAGAUAUGAUUUUUUUAAGACAAACAAAAAAAACAUACAAAUAUAAUGGAAGAAUGGUGAUGAACAUUACAUGAGGCAGUUUUGUAGUCAUGUAUAUGAUUCUUGAGAAUGAGCGUCGUCAGGAAGGCCGACAGCUGCAGGACAAAAAACCAAUGGUAAUCCUAAGAUCUUUUGAUCUGAGGAAUUGAUUUUAGAAAACAUGACUAGAAUGUGCAUCAAAGAUGCAUUUGUUACAGAUGGACUUCACGCAGCUGUCGCAUCAUCCAUAUUUUCCAUGCUGAUGUAUAAUAUAUAGAUAGUUAACCUCAGGUUCAGCAAAUUGCCUGUCAACAUUUUAUCUGUUGCAGUUCAUAUUUUCAUACAACCCAUUUGCCCGAUCACUUUGUAUUCUCAGCAAAGUGAACCAUAUGGUAAAGAUGUGACACCAUGCCUAUUUAGAUAUUUGUUUGUUCAGUCUUGUCCGAAACACAUGAUCUAUUUGCCGGAUCUAAUAUAGUUCAUAUGUAAUAACUACAUGUAUAUUUAGACAAAAAUUCUAUGAUUCAUUGAAUUGUAAAAUGUCAAUGUUUUCCCCAAUUCCAUGGAAAAGCGGAUGAUUGACCUCUUUUGAGAUGCACCACUUACCACUCCAUGUAUAGAUAAAAUCUCAACCGGCGGUUGGAUAGAUGGGGUUUGUUUUGGCCUAAUUCAAAUAACACACAAGCCACAACAACUAAGUUGCUUCCCUAAAACAUAAUUAUUUUCUGGUAACAUAUAAGGUUGAGUAUAAUUUAAUAACAUUUCAUUUUACACAAAUCUGCACGAGAUAUUUGUCUAGGCCAUGAAUAUGUUGACACAUUAAAAAAUAAUACAGGUAGAAAAACAAGUAUUAACAUGGUACACAUAUGAAAACAGAAUGCUUCACAAUUUUGUAACAGUAAACAGGAAAACAUCCCAUUGGUCAUGUUUUAAUAAUUUCAUAUACAAUUAGUUUGAUUCGAGGUAAGUUCUCUUCGAACCAAGCAUGGCACACUUUCUUGUGGAAUGAUGUGCUUUCAAAGUUCAAUGUAACAUUUUAACCAAUAUGGUAUACAUCUGAAAAAGAAAAACCAACAGCUACAUGAAACAAGUGUAGCAUAAAAAAGAACCUCAAUUAAUUAUUAUAUUUUGUCAUGUGUAUUACUCCUUAAAAACACGGUUAUAAUAAUUUAGUUGAGCCUACCAAAGUAGAAACUCCACAUUCACUGCUAGUCGACGUAUAGUAAUAAAAUUGCAUUACUGAUGAAGGAAAUUGCCCGAUGAAUUGUCAGUGAUGGUGUUGAGAGCCCGCUGGCAUCGAUCUACUCCUCACUAGGAUCUUUUAAUAAAAAAAAACUAUAGCAUUCUCUGUUAGACAGGCCCUGUAAGCUUGUUGUGACUGACUACGUACAUCCAAGACUAUGGCAUUGUCUUAAUCUUUGUAGUUUGCCUGUCUGAUCUGCAGUAUCUUGUUUUGCAUCCUGGCAUUCAUGGGUGCAACAGUCUGCGUUGCUAGGUAACCAUAUGCAGUAGGUUUCUCUCAUUUUCUUCACUAGGUUUCGAGCUAUCAAUUACAUUUUGUGAACUUAUCGACACAAUAAUGGAAGAACGGAAUUUAAAGGGUUGUAAUCAUGCCACCAAUAGUUAGGCUCUCUUUGGAAUGUUGGUAUAUUUUUUUUAUUCCGGUAUAGGAAUAAGGUUGCUUGUUCUAAGCAAUAUUCCUAUUACUUGAGGAAAAAAAAUGCAUUUAUUCAUGUGGUGUCACGUAGUUUUGUUUUUCACAGCUGAAAACAUGAAGAUAAUAAAUGGUGAA